UACGUAGGGUGCGAGCGUUGUCCGGAAUUAUUGGGCGUAAAGAGCUCGUAGGCGGUGUGUCACGUCGUUCGUGAAAACCUGCAGCUUAACUGUGGGCGUGCGGUCGAUACGGGCAUCACUGGAGUUCGGCAGGGGAGACUGGAAUUCCCGGUGUAGCGGUGAAAUGCGCAGAUAUCGGGAGGAACACCAAUGGCGAAGGCAGCUCGCUGGGACGAUACUGACGCUGAGACGCGAAAGCGUGGGGAGCAAACAGG
rnacentral:rRNA from 1 species